CAGUCCGUGGUCUCGUGGCUGGCAGGAAGGAAAAAGGAUUGGAAGAGAGACCUUGGAUGCAGACAGUCCUUCGGCUUGCCAUUGUGGCAAAAUAAUCACACAAAGGUGUCUGUGUGUCCCUAGCCCUGACUUCUGGACAAAGGGGGAUGUGAGCGGAAGAGAUAAAGAAGCCUCAAACUACAAAGAUUUUGUGUGCAGCUCCAAAGAACUGUGGCAUAAAAUCAAGAGGGGAGGAUAGAUAAGGGCCAGCGCUAUCUGAAAAUGAGACAACAACAAACCCUUAAUUGCUGGAGUGCAUCUGUCUGGGCCACUGGAAGGCGGGGGCAGAGUGGA
ensembl:lncRNA